ACUACUGUGAGUCAUACUUUAUAAAGAUUAGGGGCCAUUUCCUUACUGACUGGAAAUCACCGUUUAAAGGUCUCAGCAUUCAUAACGCCUCGUUCUAACAGGUCUAAUCAGGUGCCAGGAGACUCACUCAUCAUUGUUUCUUUGUCUGAGAAGUAGAAGAUGUGAAAAAACUUUUAUCAGAUUGAAGCGAGCUCUCCGAACAGAUUCAGCAAAGAGCUCGCCUUCCAGCAAUUCAGAUUAAGAUUGUGCCAUAUCUGGAGAAAAACAGAUGCCUGGGGAUGCAUUAUCUGAGGGAAGAUUAGUUUACAUGUCUCACUCCAACAAAGAAGUGAAGACUGGUUAGAAAGUGGCAAAUGUUCGUUGGCUUAAACAGCAGCAAGAGUGAAGUAUCAUCAUGACUUUCAGAUUUUCGAGUCACAGAAAGUUAAAUCAAUCAGCUGUUUCAUUUAUUUAUUCUGGAGAUGUAACUGUUGUGAGCUAGGCCAGCAUUUCUUGUCCAUCCUUAACAGCUUGAAAGAUGGUAGUCAGCUGCCUGCUUUAUCUGGUGUGGUGCAUCCAACAGCCACCUUACCUUUUUCUCUAAGGGUUUGUUAAAACUAGUGACUUGCCAGACCAUUUCAGGUCGCAGUUGAGAGUCACCUACAACGCUGUGGGUGGCCAGACAGGGUAAAGAUGGCAAACAUCCUCCCCGAUGGGUUUUUCAACAGCAAAAACAGGGGUCUAGGCACCCUAGCCCUACAGCUGGGACAGCCCCAACCACUGGUAAAAUACUAAUGCAGUUGGGACUAGCUAGAGCAAGUUGUGAAUGGCAGUGCGGACUCGAUGGGCCAAAUGCCCUACUUCUGCUUCUACAUCUUAUGGUCUUAUGUUCCAUGUUGCUGUCAAAUUACCAGUAGGAGCGAAUAUACAAAUUGCUUCCUGCCAAUCUGCUCAAAGCAAAGUGGGACAAAACAUUCUGGCCUUAAUUGAAGCUUUCAAAAUAUUAAGACAAAUAAAUAGAGUAGACAAAGAGGAAUUAAGGGAAACUAUUUCCACUGUCCUUCAAAAUUUAUGGAAGGGCGUUUGGGUUUUGUGAGGUGCUUUGUGAAAAAAAUCUUAGAACCAGACUUUUUAGGAGGAGUAAAAGAUGUAUUGAUAGGAGAGGCAAAGGCCUAGUGGUACGAUCACAGGACUAUAACUCCAGAGACCCUCGUAAUGUUCUGGAGACCGAGGUUCGAAUCUCACCAUGGCAGAUGGUGGAAUUUAAAUUCAAUGAGAAAAAAAUCUGGAAUUAAGAGUCUAAAGAUGACCAUGAAUCCAUUGUCAAUUGUUGGAAAAACCCACCUGGUUCACUAAUGUUCUUCAGGGAAGGAAACUGCCAUCCUUACCUGGUCUGGCCACAUGUGACUCCAGACCCAUAGCAAUGUGGUUGACUCUUAAACUGCCCUCUGGGCAAUUAGGGAUGGGCAAUAAAUACUGGCCUAGACAGCAAUGCCCGCAUCGCAUGAAUGAAUUAAAAGAAAUUACCAGCCUGUGUGUGAAGAAAUGUUUCUUGUUUUCACUCACUAAGAUCAGUAAUUUCUGAAAUCCCUUCUUCAUGGAAGUUUUCAACUCUCUUCUGCAUGUGGUAAUGUUGGAUCAGUUAUUAAUAUUAAAUGGAAUCAUUUAUUUAUUGUCA